rnacentral:lncRNA from 1 species
UGCUCCUCAUCCAUAGAUGAGCUGAGCAAAACCCAUGAUUUAGAUGAUUUACAAAGUAGCACUCCUCGUCCAUGGAUGAGCUGAGCAUAAUCCAUGACUCUAGCAUCUACCAAAUGGUGCACCUCAUCUGUGGAUGAGCUGAGUCGAGUCCGUGUCACCAAUAUUCUCCAACAAACAUUCCUUACCUACAAAUAGACUGAACGACAAUCGUGACUACGAUCUUAUUAGAUAUAUGCCCUAGGAGCCAA